AUGACUCUCAGCUGUGCAGAAAACCACGUCGGUACUGCUGACGCAAAUGAUUCAGCCAAGAGGAUUAUUCACUUCCUGGGAGACUCUGGCAAAGAAAUUAUGUCACACCUUACCACAGUGUCCAGGAAGGGCUGUGAGGUGGAGGUGGUUGUGAUGGUUCAGGGGAGCAAGGAGCUCGAUCGAGGUGAUAUGGAGUUACUUCCUCUCAGAGAUUUUGGUGUAGAGAAGACAUCAUUAUCUCCCCUUGUCCCUGAGAUCACUGCUGUUUUGGGACCCCUAUGCUUCUUGUGACCUAUGAAGAGUGUGUUUUUGUGUGUGUGUGUGUGUGUGUGUGUGUGUGUGUGUGUGUGUGUGUGUGUGUGUGUGUGUGCAUGUGUGUGUGUGCGUGUGUGCGUGUGUGUGUGUGUGUGCAUGCAUGUGUGAUGAAAUUCUGUAAAUAUCCUUGAUUAAAUAAAGACAUGAAUAUACUGUAUGAUGGUUAGAUAUUUUACACUAAGAAUUGUGUUGCUCAGUACUGUAUUUUUGUGUAUAUUUAUUAAACUGCCUCAAGUAUUUUCUAAAUUGUUAUUAUAUGUUAUGUAGCAUUGGAGCUUAAAGUGUUUAUAUGACAACUCGAUGUAUCCUCACAGGGGAAUGAUGUGUAGCACUAUCAAAAUAAAAUGAUGAGAUUGAACUUGUGGAAUUAAACUGAACCAUGUGCAUCUGUUGCAAUUUAAAGCAGUUACAAUUUGGAAUUUAAGAUAUUGUGUAGAUUUAUGUUCUUUCCUGGACAUUAUGCUGUAGAUAAUUGUUAAUGUAAAUGCUGAAGUUGAGAUCAGGCAUUAUUCAGGAUUUAUAGUGGUAAUUCAGUUUUUUUUUAAUUUAUAUUAAUUAAUUAAUUUUAUAUAUUAAUUCAUUUGUUUUGCUUGUGCUUAGAGGAUGAGUUUGGUCGAACACAGAUAAUGAAUAGCAGCUUUUCUACUCUGCUGCAGAUAAAGGCCUGAUGCCAGAACUGUAGAUUCCUAGUUUUGGACAGAGUAACCACUUCCCAAGUGUCCAAGUUCAGGGAAGUCAAGAAGUCACAAUAGUUAAUAAGUUGUUGGAGGAGAGUUCCCAUAAAACAUGCUGACCAUUUCUGAACAAAGUGGCUUUGUUGUGACAGAAAAGAUCUGCAGCCAGGCAUUGGAAUUGGUCUGAAACUGUUACCGAAUCUCAACCCUCCCUUAUAAAAUUCACUCAUGAUCCUUAAGUAACGCAGCAGCCAGGAGGCAAAUCUUUGGUUAGUAUGUCUUCAGUUGGGAAGUUUUUUUGAAUAGAUGAUGCAGUCGUUUAUGAGUUGCAUAAAUAUAUCCCUCUGUCUUUGUCGUUAAUUGUAUUUGUCACACUCAACUCAUGAGACCAGUUACUUUUUUUAUGACCCAUUAUGGUUCGAGGGUACACCAGUUCAAGUAUACUUCAAAAGAGUUCAUCGUCAACUGCAGGGACCAGCAAUCUCCAAGUGGUGGUCAUUCUGAUCGAUUGCAAUUUUUCGGGCAAUAUAGGAAUAUGGUCUCUUUAAGGUACUAUCAGCUGACAUGAUCUCUUGAACAGGGUCCGUGAAUCAAAAUCUGGUUUAAAGUAAUUAUUAUUGCAGAUCAAAGUGGGCCUGCACAGUGCUAAUUCGUAAACGUAGGUUCAUAAUUGCAUGUAUUUGUUUGCAUUGAUCAAUAAGCGUCUGUCACUGUAAAGUAGACCAAUAAAAUAAUAAAAGAAAUAAAUCCUCUAUCC
rnacentral:lncRNA from 1 species